rnacentral:rRNA from 1 species
GACGAACGCUGGCGGCGUGCUUAACACAUGCAAGUCGAACGGAAAGGCCCUGCUUUUGUGGGGGGCUCGAGUGGCGAACGGGUGAGUAACACGUGAGUAACCUGCCCUUGACUUUGGGAUAACUUCAGUAAACUGGGGCUAAUACCGGAUAGGAGCUCCUGCUGCCUGGUGGGGGUUGGAAAGUUUCGGCGGUUGGGGAUGGACUCGCGGCUUAUCAGCUUGUUGGUGGGGUAGUGGCUUACCAAGGCUUUGACGGGUAGCCGGCCUGCGAGGGUGACCGGCAACAUUGGGACUGAGAUACGGCCCAGACUCCUACGGGAGGCAGCAGUGGGGAAUAUUGCACAGUGGGCGGAAGCCUGAUGCAGCAACGCCGCGUGCGGGAUGAAGGCCUUCGGGUUGUAAACCGCUUUCGCCUGUGACGAAGCGUGAGUGACGGUAAUGGGUGAAGAAGCACCGGCUAACUACGUG